ACCGCCAGGACCUUGGCGAUAUAGGGGAUCAGCGGCAGGUUCAGGAUGAGAAGCACCAGAUUUCCGAGAUACAUGGAAAUGAUGACCGCCCAGAAGAUUUGCGGUUCGUCCACCAUCAGGCGUGGACC
rnacentral:ncRNA from 1 species